UACGAAGGGGGCUAGCGUUGUUCGGAAUCACUGGGCGUAAAGCGCUCGUAGGCGGAUCUUUUAAGUCAGAGGUGAAAUCCCAAGGCUCAACCUUGGAACUGCCUUUGAUACUGGGGAUCUCGAGUCCGGGAGAGGUGAGUGGAACUGCGAGUGUAGAGGUGAAAUUCGUAGAUAUUCGCAAGAACACCAGUGGCGAAGGCGGCUCACUGGCCCGGUACUGACGCUGAGGAGCGAAAGCGUGGGGAGCAAACAGGG
rnacentral:rRNA from 1 species